rnacentral:lncRNA from 1 species
AGGAACAGUAUUCAAUCUUAAGACCCAGCUUUUAAGACUUCGAUAGACAGACAUAGAGGGCUCGAGUGGAAGGUGUUCCAGGGCCAUCGGAGGGGCCUCGCCUGGCCCGCAGAGCCCCCGCAGCCCCGUGUCAAGGGUGCCCUCGCUCAGAGCAAACCAGCUCCAGUAUCCCAGGAACCGGCACCACUGCCCCGAAGCCCCACAGACCCCUGCAGCACCACCCUCGCCCAAGGGCUGCCACCCUCACUCCAGCCUCCGGACCUCGGCUCCCUGGGAGAGAAAAGAUUCAGCAGCUGGGUUCAUCCGGCAGCCGAUUCUGUAAAGCCGGUGAAGCGAGUUUUAUGGCCCUGGGCUCGGGGUCUACGUUGGAUCCUCAUCUUCUCAGACACAGGAAAAGGGGAUGCAGGGUUUCUUGUUCCUGAGGGUUGACAAGAAAUACAUCUAUCUACAUGCAUCUGUAUAUCUACUCAGAGCCCACCAAAACUGUGUACACGGGGAAAAGAAAAAC